UCAAUCCGUCGCCUCUCCCGCAAGCCGCCGCCCUCUCUCCUUCUCCCCGUCUUUGGCCCCGCCCUCGCCAACUCCCGACGCUCCGCCGAGUGGAGAACCAGGAAGGAGGAGGGACGUGAAGUGGAGAAGAGGGGGUGCGCUGGAGAAGGAGCCAAGCCUGCAGGAGAGCACGGAGUGCCGGCGCGCCGUGCCCGCCGCAGCUGCUCGUGGAGAUCCGGCAUGUGCUGCACCAUGGAGGCGCUCGUGGAGGUACUCUCGCCUUCGGAACCACCUCGAUCCGCGUCUGGAACCAUCCUGCUCGUCUCCAACUUUUCCAGCUCACUGAUGAGGACCUCGUCUCGGCCUCCCUACCAGCCCCAUCCGGUUUGAUGUCGAGGAGGUUCGGUUCCUACACCAAUGGUUACAGCGGGCUCUGCUGCAGGGAGUGGAAGUUUUAGAAUGCUGCGGACAGGUUGAGAGCAAUAGAUGUUUUUUAAGUCCUAGGACAAUUUGAUUUUGGGAGGACAAAGGUCAGGCAAGGAUGAGAAUGGGAUACCAGAUUACAACGAUGGAGGCUCGGACAUGGAUCUGCUCAUGCUCUCAGCGGGAAUACUGGAUGUUCUUGAAGCUUUGCCAUACACACGUGCUACUUUUGGCACUUGUGUGGGCUCCAGUUUGUGUCAAUGCAAUUUGCAUCUAUCAGCGGAUUAUGUCGAUCAGGUUUGGUUAUUGGCAUACAUGUAUGUUUGUGUAUGGAUGUCACAAAAUUGUUAUGCAGAAAAUAAGAGUGUAGUACAUUUCAGAGAUACAAGUGAUCUUGUUCAGUUUAGUCAGAGCACAUGCAAACAAGUAGUUCCCUAGGGUGGAGGCCUUCCACUUGCUUUUGCUAGCUAUAUGAAAUAGACUGAACCUGAACCUAACUACGAUUGGAUGUCUAAGCUGAAUUGUUGCAUCCGUAGACAUGGAAUUAUGGAUCAAUUUUAGCUCUCAAGAACUGCAUACUUAUGGUCCUAUGUAAUCCCAAUUUAUUCAGGCCAGCAUCCCAAAAGUUCACUAAUGAACAAAGCAACAUCACACAGAAUCUAAGUUUUAGGCCAGGUUACUAAUCAAUCUUUUCCCUUCUCUCUAUUUAAUUUUAACAUUGCACAAUUAUUUAUUCCCUGUUUGUAGCUUACACUGAAAUCUAAGCUCGUGUGCAUGUAUGUAUUAUGAACCAGCCCUGUCCAUUGCCUUACUGGAUACAUAAGUCUCUCCAUUGCUGUUGUCGGAUGGGUUUACGUUUGCUGUUACUUUCUGUCUUGGUUAGGAACCAGGUUGUAUAAUGCACCAAUGCUGCUUUCUGAUGACGACGGCAAUGCCAAACGCACCAUCACCUGAGGACCGCCUUCAAGAGCAUGCUGAAGAAUCACAACAAAAACUCCCCAGUGAUAGUGCCACUCCAUGAGACAUCCAUAUCAAACUGAAACUCAAUUUCCUCGCAUUAGCCAAAGCAUGCCAUCACAAAUUUUUUGCUGUUGUUUUGGAACUAUUUCAGUAUGGACCCUUGAUGGGCCAUGCUUUUCUCUGCUUUUUGCGUUCCUGGACUAUAUCCAAGGAUGAAGUGAAGAAGAAGAAUUGGGAUUGUCAAUUGUGUAUUUGCAAUUGUACAGAUCCGAGGUCUAUGCGAUUGGCGGGGAAGGAACCAUGAGAGGAGCAGUGGCGAUAUUCAAAGAGAUUAAACGGCAUGGUUUGAGGAUACCCAUUACAUGGAUCCCCAAAACUGUGGACAUCGGCAUCAUAGACAGGUCGUUUGUGUUCCAAACUGCAGUGGAGAUUACUCAGCAUGCGAUCAACCGGCACAUGUGGAGGCUGUGAGCGCUGUGAAUGGUAUUGGUCUUGUCAAACUUACGGAAGGAGCACAUGACACGUUACUCUUCAUGCCACCCUGAGCAGCCGAGAUGUUGACUGCUGUGAAUCUUGAGAUUGAUUUCCACGUUGAAGGGAAGGGAAGCCUGUUUGAGUUCCUGUAUGAACGGAUAAAGAAGAAGGGGCAUGUUGUGGUCGUUGUUGCUGAAGGUGCUGAUCAGGAGUUAAUACCCCGGACUGAUGACCCAACAGAGUUAACUUAAUCUGAACCUCCUCUGUUUCCGCUAUAUAUCCCUAAUUUUCUGAACUUAACAACUGAACACCAUUAUAUAUUAGAUUAGCACACAAGUGAACUGGAAAUCAUUUUAUUCAGAUUGUUUGUACCCUCAGUGUAAAAUUAUUCCUUAUUGGUUGGGGAUUUGGAGACGUAGUAUCUGGUUGAUGAAGGAUUUUUAUCUCCUAAGCUUCA